ensembl:snRNA U2 U2 spliceosomal RNA
AUUGCUUCUCAACCUUUUGGCUAAGAUCAAGUGUAGUAUCUAUAUCCCAAUGAUGUUUGGGAUACUUAGUAUUUGGGCAGCUAGAACUCCUCUUCCUGAGUUAAAAUCCAGCCAAUCACUAGCUGUGUGGCCUUGGGUAAGUCACUUAACCCAGUUUGCCUCAGUUGUCU